rnacentral:tRNA from 1 species
UAGCUUAAUGGUAAAGCACUUGACGCGUAAUCACGGGGAUGUGAGUUCGAGUCUCAU